UUUAUACUCCCUCCGCCCGGAAAUACUUGUCCUAGAAAUGAAUGUAUCUAGACUUAUUUUGGUUAUAGAUAUAACCAUUUUAUUCAUUUCUAGGACAAGUAUUUUCGGACGGAGGGAGUAGAUG
rnacentral:pre_miRNA from 1 species